rnacentral:lncRNA from 1 species
AGACCACCCAGCCCAUCAUCCAGACUUCUCUACGGGGGAUAGAUUUAGAUGAGAUCCAGUCCUGUAAUGCUGCUGUGCUGCUGCCCAAGGGGGGAGCCACUAUAUGCAGGAGAUCCCAGCUCUGCAACUUCAAGUCACUGAAACACCUGAACUACUCUCAUCAACAGAUGCACUUAUACGUAACUUGGAUGACAUCUCCUCUCCUCCACAUCAUCAUUAACUCUGUGCAGGCUCAUCUCUCAUGACUUCAUCUUGAACGAUAUUCUGCUCAUAGCCUAGAAAGUUCUAUGUGCCUCCUCACUUCCAGCGGUUGAGAAUACGGUCUUCUGUGCAUGAGAUAGUACAGACGUACCCCACCCCACUCAUUCCU